rnacentral:rRNA from 1 species
GAUGAAUGCUGGCGGUGCGCCUAAUACAUGCAAGUCGAGCGUGAUUAUUACUUAAGUUUACUUGGUUUAUGAAAGCGGCGGACGAGCGAGUAACACGUAAGAAAUUCGCCCCGUACUCAGGGAUAACCUGGCGAAAGUCAGGCUAAUACCGGAUGGUCCCGAAAGGGUAAAGAUUUAUCGGUACGGGAGAUGCUUGCGGCCUAUCAGCUAGUUGGUGAGGUAACUGCUCACCAAGGCUAUGACGGGUAACUGGUCUGAGAGGAUGAUCAGUCGCGAUGGAACUGAGACACGGUCCAU